rnacentral:rRNA from 1 species
UGGGGAAUUUUGGACAAUGGGCGCAAGCCUGAUCCAGCCAUGCCGCGUGCAGGAUGAAGGCCCUCGGGUUGUAAACUGCUUUUGUACGGAACGAAAAGCCUCUUUCUAAUAAAGAGGGGUGAUGACGGUACCGUAAGAAUAAGCACCGGCUAACUACGUGCCAGCAGCCGCGGUAAUACGUAGGGUGCGAGCGUUAAUCGGAAUUACUGGGCGUAAAGCGUGCGCAGGCGGUCUUGCAAGACAGUGGUGAAAUCCCCGGGCUCAACCUGGGAACAGCCAUUGUGACUGCAAGGCUGGAGUACGGCAGAGGGGGAUGGAAUUCCGCGUGGAGCAGUGAAAUGCGUAGAUAUGUGGAGGAACACCGAUGGCGAAGGCAGUCCCCUGGGCCUGUACUGACGCUCAUGCACGAAAGCGUGGGG